CAGCUCUUGAACUCCAGGAUUCUCACCAGUGGCCAACAGUUUCUCAGACCUUAGGUUUUGAACUGAGUUACAUCAUCAGCUUUCCUGGUUUUAAGGCUUUCAAACAUGGAUUGGCUUCUCUGAUUCUCCAGUUUGCCGACAACCUAUCCUGGGACUUUCCUGCCAUCAUAAGACCUGUGAAGAAUUCUACCUUCAGACAACUGCUCAACUGGAUUGAAUCUGGGAGAAGAAGAUGGGGGCAUUAUUUCUUGACAGCCACCUAGAUUCCAACAGCAUCAUGCAACAAAUGAUGUUUUUUGGUGAUUUGGUCCUCCUAAGUGCAUGGACAUCGGACAGGAUAGUAUGAGUAUGAUUAGAGGUGUAAGUAUGACUAGAAGCACAAGUUAAUUUAUGAGUGAUUGAAUAAAAGUAA